rnacentral:rRNA from 1 species
CCUGACUGCUAUCGGAUUGAUACUAAGCCAUGCGAGUCUUUGCAGUAAUGCAAGGCGGACUGCUCAGUAACACGUAGUCAACUUAACCUAUGGAUGGGUAUAACCUCGGGAAACUGAGAAUAAUUCCCAAUAGAUCAUUUAUCCUGGAAUGGUUAGUGAUUGAAAUGAUUCGUCGCCAUAGGAUAGGACUGCGGCCUAUCAGCUUGUUGGUGAGGUAAAGGCCCACCAAGGCUAUUACAGGUACGGGCUCUGAGAGGAGAAGCCCGGAGAUGGGUACUGAGACACGGACCCAGGCCCUAUGGGGCGCAGCAGGCGAGAAAACUUUGCAAUGUGCGAAAGCACGACAAGGUUAAUCCGAGUGAUUUCUGCUAAAGAAAUCUUUUGCCAGUUCUAAAAAUACUGGUGAAUAAGGGGUGGGCAAGUUCUGGUGUCAGCCGCCGCGGUAAAACCAGCACCUCAAGUUGUCAGGAGGAUUAUUGGGCCUAAAGCAUCCGUAGCCGGCUCUGUUAGUUUUCGGUUAAAUCCAUAUGCUCAACAUAUGGGCUGUCGGAAAUACUGCAGAGCUAGGGAAUGGGAGAGGUAGACGGUACUCGAUAGGAAGGGGUAAAAUCCUUUGAUCUAUUGAUGACCACCUGUGGCGAAGGCGGUCUACCAGAACAUGUUCGACGGUGAGGGAUGAAAGCUGGGGGAGCAAACCGGAUUAGAUACCCGGGUAGUCCCAGCUGUAAACGAUGCAGACUCGAUGAUGCAUUAGCAUAUAGCUGAUGCAGUGUCGCAGGGAAGCCGUUAAGUCUGCCGCCUGGGAAGUACGUACGCAAGUAUGAAACUUAAAGGAAUUGGCGGGGGAGCACCACAAGGGGUGAAGCCUGCGGUUC